rfam:Ipomoea nil DNA, scaffold: scaffold1474, cultivar: Tokyo-kokei standard.
AUACUUACCUGGACGGGGUCAAUGGGCGAUCAACAAGGCCCAUGGCCUAGGUUGAUGACUUUCAUUGCACUUUGGAAGGGUGUUAACUUAAGGUCUAUCUUAUAGAUGGAGCCUACGUCAUAAUUUGUGAUAGAGGGGGCCUGCGUUCGCGCGGCCCCUAC